AUUGAACGCUGGCGGCAUGCCUUACACAUGCAAGUCGAACGGUAACAGGUCUUCGGAUGCUGACGAGUGGCGAACGGGUGAGUAAUACAUCGGAACGUGCCUAGUAGUGGGGGGUAACUACUCGAAAGAGUGGCUAAUACCGCAUGAGAUCUACGGAUGAAAGCAGGGGAUCGCAAGACCUUGUGCUACUAGAGCGGCCGGUGGCAGAUUAGGUAGUUGGUGGGAUAAAAGCUUACCAAGCCGACGAUCUGUAGCUGGUCUGAGAGGACGAUCAGCAACACGGGGACGGGGACGCGGCCAGGCUUCCGCGGGGAGGCAGCAGUGGGGAUUUUUGGACAAUGGGCGAAAGCCUUAUCCAGCAAUGCCGCGUGAAGGAAGAGGGCCUUCGGGUUGUAAACUGCUUUUGUACGAAACGAAAACCCCCGGGUUAAUACCCUGGGUUCAUGCCGGUACCGUAAGAAUAAGCACCGGCUAACCACGUGCCAGCCGCCGCGGUAA
rnacentral:rRNA from 1 species